rnacentral:rRNA from 1 species
AGUGGCGGACGGGUGAGUAACGCGUGGGUAACCUGACCCCAUACAGGGGGAUAACAGAUAGAAAUGUCUGCUAAUACCGCAUAAGACCACAGCGCCGCAUGGCGCAGGGGUAAAAACUCCGGUGGUAUGGGAUGGACCCGCGUCUGAUUAGCUAGUUGGUGGGGUAAAGGCCCACCAAGGCGACGAUCAGUAGCCGACCUGAGAGGGUGACCGGCCACAUUGGGACUGAGACACGGCCCAAACUCCUACGGAAGGCAGCAG